rnacentral:rRNA from 1 species
UAGCGGCAAUUGUGGUGGAGAAAGCGUAGGGGGCUAGGUGUGGCGGGCCGGUUCCCGGUGCCGAGGUAAGGGGUUGGUGGUGCGGCGGCUUGGGUAUAUGGGGGUAGAGGGUGUGGUGUGGGGGUAGACUUAGGUGCGACGGGCCGGACGGUGUAGUGUGGGGCAACUACAGCGUGAGCGCGCGACCGACGUUCCGCGGCAGCUACAUUAAGGGGAUUUGACUCUGUCUCUCUCCCUCCUGCCCCAGUACCCCGAGGAGGUGCGCGGACCUAGGUCCGCGGUGAGUUGCGUAGAACGAGCUAGACCGGCGGCGGUGCGCGCAGGCACGACCUAGACCGGAAGUGUCAGCUUCGACCCACCUACUCGUACCCCGCCACCGAACCAACACCUCCACCCCUUCGCUCGUGCCCCGCCACCGAACCAACACCUCCUCCACUUCGCUUGUGCACAACAAGACCGAUCCUCCACUCAACGAGUAGGAGCUAGAUCUCUUCCCCUUCCGUCUCCACUCGUCCUAGGGGAGUUAGAAGCUAGACCUCAUCAAUUAAAACAUACCGACCGAAGACUUUGGCUAAAACGUAAUACACGCAGCUUUUUGUAUGUUAAAAUAUAAGAAUAAACGUUUAAGCCUUAACGUAGCAGACAAGCUUGUCACACGAAUACUAUAAAGGCAUGCAUAUACUGAGUUUUACAUUGUACGUCAGAUUAAACGUAUCGGUCAAGUAAAAGAACCACGAAUAUCUAGACAAGGUCAAUUAUUAAGUAAGAUCUACUAGAAAAAAAGAUCCUGAUUAAAAUUAGUGACAAGUUCUUCCGCGAUAAUCCGCGAGCGGAUCCGCGCGAAUUCGCGACCCGCAACCGUAUCGCGGAGUCGAAACCGGGAUCCGCGAGUUUUUUCGCCGGCCGCUCCAGGAGGCCGCUCUUUAGUCGGAGAGGCCGCUCCUUAGUCGAAAGACUCCACUCUUUAGUCAGAGGGGCCGCUCCUAAGCUGGAGGGGACGCUCCUAAGUAGGAGAGGCUGCUCCCUAAGUUGACGGGGCUGCUGUUUAGCUCUAAGAGGCCGCUCCCUAACUCGAAGAGGCCGCUCCCUAGCUCGAAGAGGCUGUUCCCUGUCUCCUUCUCCCUCCCUCCGUCGGAGCACGUUGCUCUGUCUUUCCUGCUCCCCCCCUCCGCCGCACUCCUCCUUUGGAUUUAAAGGAUAGCUGACGUCGUCUGCUCUCGAAAAUCAUCCUCCUAUACUUCUACCCGGAUACCAAAUCACCCGAUCGGGUCGGGUAGAUCGAAUAAAUAAGUGCAAUGUCAUGAUUGCGGAUUAACGCAGAUUAAAGCGGAUUAGUGCGGAUUCGAUCUUUUCGCGUUCAUCCACGGGUUUGCGUAUUAAUCGCGGAUCGCGAAAAAACUUGAAACUAAAAUUAAAUUAUCUAUCUAACUACAAACAUCUGUUCCAGAAGUCCUUAUUGUAAAAUCACAACUACAAGUCCAGAUCCAAGUGUUCAACUCUAUUCGACGUAGGUAUUUAUUAGCUUCUUCAUGUUGAAGUGUCAAAACCUUUUCUUACCGUUUGUCUCCUAUUUCUCUACUACGACGAUGUAUACUUCUAAACGCUUGUCCCUUACAUUCCGAACAGUGUAUCUCCAACUUACUCAAGUAAGGUUCAGAACAUACUUGUUUUGUUGUUCCGUUUCCAGUGUUCAUAUUACGGAAACGUAGGUGUUCCAAGAUCUCCACACAAACCACUCGAUUUUCCCAGAAAACGACCAAAGCCAAAAGAGGUAUUACAUUUUGAAAAUGAACACUUGGAUGUUUACAUGAGUACACACGUACAUCUGGACUACCUACCAACACGAAAACCAACAGGACAUUGACCUGAACAUACGGGUACACACGUAGGUCCGUACGUACUAGAACACGACAACCGACUGGAUGCUAUGACCAGAAUACUUGGAUACAUACCUACUACCUCUGAACGUUUUGAUACCUACCUACUACCUAAGGAAUAUGUGUGUGUGUAAUAGAGAAC